UGAGGGAAAGUUGCAAAGAACUUUGAAGAGAGAGUUCAAGAGUACGUGAAACUGCUCAGAGGCAAACGGGUGGGCCCUCGAAAUCCUCUUGCGGAGGGAUUCAGUCCGGAGCGGCAGGGGCGAUCGCCGGUAACGGACCCCGAAAAGGACGGGUCCGGCGACGCGGUCUCGGCCGCGCCGGACGCACUUCUCUCCGCACUCUGGACGCCGCAACGGAUCGGGUAGCUGCGAGAGUCGGCCUUGAGGCGGUCCCAGGCAGGUGACCGGGCGUGGGGGCUCCGUGCCCUCCGUCCGGUUAUUCACGGGACCGUUCGUGGCGCGACACCCGAUCGAGGUCUGCGCUUCCCCUGCGGGAAGCCUUCCGUCUCCGUCUCUAUGGUGCGGUGCGGGGGCCAGUGAGCGCCGGCGAUGCCGAACCACUCCUCGUAGUGGCCGGCGCGACGGUUGCCGCCGAUGGGUCCCCGACUACCGCGGGAGGCUGCGGAACGGUUUGCGGCGAGUAGGUCGGUCACCCACCCGACCCGUCUUGAAACACGGACCAAGGAGUCUAACAUGUGCGCGAGUCGCAGGGUCUUGGACAGGCCCUCGGGCGCAAUGAAAGUGAAGGUUCCUCCGGGACCGAGUUGGGAUUCCUUCCCCCGAGGGGGUCGGAAGCACCAACGGCCCGUCCCGUCCGACUCGUCGGUGGGGCGGAGUCCGAGCGCACACGUUGGGACCCGAAAGAUGGUGAACUAUGCUUGGGCAGAACGAAGCCAGAGGAAACUCUGGUGGAGGUUCGCAGCCGUUCUGACGUGCAAAUCGAUGGCUUGACCUGAG
rnacentral:rRNA from 1 species